GUGGGGAAUUUUGGACAAUGGGCGCAAGCCUGAUCCAGCAAUGCCGCGUGCAGGAAGAAGGCCUUCGGGUUGUAAACUGCUUUUGUACGGAACGAAACGGUCCUGGUUAAUACCUGGGGCUAAUGACGGUACCGUAAGAAUAAGCACCGGCUAACUACGUGCCAGCAGCCGCGGUAAUACGUAGGGUGCAAGCGUUAAUCGGAAUUACUGGGCGUAAAGCGUGCGCAGGCGGUUUUGUAAGACAGGCGUGAAAUCCCCGGGCUCAACCUGGGAAUGGCGCUUGUGACUGCAAGGCUGGAGUGCGGCAGAGGGGGAUGGAAUUCCGCGUGUAGCAGUGAAAUGCGUAGAUAUGCGGAGGAACACCGAUGGCGAAGGCAAUCCCCUGGGCCUGCACUGACGCUCAUGCACGAAAGCGUGGGGAGCAAACAGGAUUAGAUACCCGAGUAGUCC
rnacentral:rRNA from 1 species